UACGUAGGGUGCGAGCGUUGUCCGGAAUUAUUGGGCGUAAAGGGCUCGUAGGCGGUUUGUCGCGUCGGGAGUGAAAUCCACUGGCUUAACUGGUGGCUUGCUUUCGAUACGGGCAGACUGGAGGUAUGCAGGGGGAGAACGGAAUUCCUGGUGUAGCGGUGAAAUGCGCAGAUAUCAGGAGGAACACCGGUGGCGAAGGCGGUUCUCUGGGCAUGUCCUGACGCUGAGGAGCGAAAGUGUGGGAGCAAACAGG
rnacentral:rRNA from 1 species